AAUGGGACAAAGACCACUUAAAGGGGACAUAUCAUAUCACCAGGUGUGAGUGUGAUUAGCCCUACAAGCCGUUUCGAAAAUCUGCCCCAUAUGACAUCACUAGUGGGCAUGUCCACCUGGAUCUGUGCUGGAUAGAUGAGCAACGUUUACUUCAGUCCACUGGGUAGGCUUGUAGACUGAUCCAUCCAGCACAGAUCUAGGUGGACGUGCCCACUAGUGAUGUCAUAUGGGGCAGAUUUUCGAAACGGUUUGUAAGGCUAAUCACACUCACACCUGGUGGUAUAAUAUGUCCCCUUUAAGUGGUCAACACAUGAUGAACUUUCAGUGUCUGCGUUGCAAGUGUUGCAGAUGUUUUCCUAUGUACUGGAGCGUUAAAGCCCAAUGCUAAUGGGGCAUUCCUGAAAGUUAAGAUUCUCCUCCUAAACUCGACUCAAAGAUCAAACUAUUUAAACUGACCCGGUUUACGCUGACCUAUCGAGGCGUGUCUCAUCAGCUUUGUUUGACCAAAUGAAUCAAAACGCUUACGGUUUUCCUGAUUUCUAAACCUAAAUCCAUGUCAUUGGAGUUAGAAGCACUGAAUCCAUGGCGGUUGGCAGCCUAUAUCCCUAAUGCCUAACCUAGUGUCCACCACUUUGCUGGAUGCUCAUCAUGUGUAGAAUGCUGAGUCCAACCCUAACUCCUCUGUGUGUUUUACAUGCCAUGCCCCCCCCCCCCCACGGCAACAAUAUUGGUGCCUCAGCUGGCCUUUAGGCCAGCUAUAGUUGGCCAUCGGGCAAUCACGUGAGGAUUCCAGUCUGCAUCACGUUAAACAUACAAGGACUACAACGUGAUGUUACUACCUCUCAGGACUACAGAAUGAGGGUAGGGUUGGUGUUUGGAACGGUUCUGGACUUCUUGAAUCAUCAAGAACUUGAACUUCGAGCGGAAGAAGGAGAACACGUACCUAUUCAUACAGCAGCGUGCCAUCUCAGAACCUUACUCCUGAUCAAAGCACAACCCACGGUUUAAUGAGGAAACUGAAACAUACAGAUAAUAUUAUGUGGAUCCCCGCUUACAGCAGGGUUUUAUAGACGUCCCACUGCCUCCUGACAUGACAAACCUCAUAUCGUAUGUAUUUAUUCAUGUAUUUAUAAAUAUGUAUUUAUCGUAGCUGUGAAGCCUUGUGAAGUGUCUGAAGAUGCAUUAAUAAAUGAGAGGAGAAGUGGAGGGGAGGAGAGGAGAGGAAGGGUUGUUUAACCGUGUCAUCAGAUGGACAUCAAGCUAAUCACAAUGAUGACAGUAUCUCCUAAUGUGAAACAUAGUUACCCUUUUAAGGAAUCAACUGUUCAUGAUCAUAACUGUCCUGAAAUGAUUAACUAAACCUAAGAAAGGAUUGAGUUUAGACGUUUAUGAUUUGAACCACUACAGGUUUUAACUAAUCUAUGUUCUAAUUCUGUGUUCUUUGGCUUGUACAGUAUAAAUUGUCUACAACGGAAAGUUCGUUAUGUUGGAAACACAAAGCUUGUUUAUUUACUGAGUCAGGUGUUACCUGACAAUACAAAAUAACAACAGUUCCACAACAUCAACCUUUAAGUGUCUUUGCAAUAGACUAUAACCUUGAAUCAUUUGUAAUAAACAGUGUUUUAUAACAAACAAUAUAGUUUGUCAUCUUUCCUUGAUUUAUUUUGAAGCGUGAUUUAUUACAGUUUUUGUAAUCUAUUACAGAUUUAGC
ensembl:lncRNA